UUCUCUCUCCAGAGCUCUUAUCAGCACAGAUGCAGCUGAGCUGGGAUUACUAGCAUUUGUUUCUGGAGGAACAGAAAGACCUUCCCCUGUUGGAGAAAUGAUCUGAACUCAAUGUUUUCUCUUGGAGGGGUUUAUUACACGAUAACACAGAUUAUUUUUUUUCUCCAGCAUACAUAUAUGCCCAAUAAGUGUGUCAGAACAGAAAGUGGCAGACACCAGUUCUGCCAUGUUUAUUUUAAGCUAAAGUAAUUGUACAAAAUUUGGCUGUAGUGCCACAGCAGAAGGUCAGCAGAGAGUAAGAUUAGUCCAAGUCAACAAAGGGGAAGUAGUUACUUAGAUAAAAUCAUCAGUACUCAGUCAGUUAAUCUAUCCUCCCAGUAAACAGGAUUCAUCUUGCACCUCUUACUUUGGUCCCUGCCCUUGCCAACUGCCCCUUGCCUCUUUCUGAUGCUAAAGGAGUCCACUUCCCAGCUGUGGUGCAAUCCUUGAGGUUUUAGCUGAAAAUAAACUUAUCAAAUGCAAAAAGCUGAAUAAACAAUAUUGGAAGAUGUGAGAUUCAUAGAACAUUCACUAGAGAUGUUUUAACAUGAGAUGGUACCAGUCAAGUCAUGCUUUGAGAGAAUGAAUUCUAAAAACAUGGGGCAUAUAAACCAUUGAAUAGGCAAAACUAAGGCUUCAAUAGCUCAAUAUGGGGACCUUUGUGUUAGAGAAUUGUUAAAGACAAUUUCAAAGUUAGAGAGAAAUAUUCAUGUGGCAUCAGUAUGGACAAUCCUAGCAAGGUAGAGUUCAUGCAGGGAAUAUUUGGAUCCAUGUAAAGGCAAGAAUAAGGAAGGCAUUGCCUUUGAAGAUAACUGUGAAAAACGCCAUUCAACUUCCAUCAACUGACUUAAAUCUCAGUAGUUUAUAUACUUGUUAAGAUUCAGCUAAAGUCAAUAUCCAUCUACUGCUAAAUUUAUGAUUAUGCAUAUUUCUUCCAAGCAACAGGGAAAACCAAAACAGGUUUCUAUGAACUUUGGAAAAUGCCAUCUGUGUGACUUCCUUAUAACUCUAUGCAGACAUAGAGAGUUGAGACGAUUCACCUGUGGAGAUAUGUGGAGCCCAUGUUAAAUAAGGAGCCACUGAAAUGAGAAAUUAUCUGUAAGAAUAUCCAUACCCACAGUUUGCCACCGCAUUAUUGUGAAGAAAAUAAAAUUCUGUAAAAUGAACAGCCUUUUGUAAAGUAGGUAUGAUUCUAAUCCUGCAGCCUUUGUGUAACAGUUUAAAUUACAAUCCUGAUUUUGUAUUUCUCUAACAGCCUUCAGAAAACAGAACUGAAAGAGCAGAAGAGAGCUGUGAAAUUCAGAAAUCCCAAAGUCAUUACUAUAUAAUUGCAGGAGACCAAUAAAAUAUUGUUCUGCUACUGUUAAUAA
ensembl:lncRNA